rnacentral:rRNA from 1 species
UACGGGGGGGGCAAGCGUUGUUCGGAAUUACUGGGCGUAAAGGGCUCGUAGGUGGCCAACUAAGUCAGACGUGAAAUCCCUCGGCUUAACCGGGGAACUGCGUCUGAGACUGGAUGGCUCGAGUGCAGGAGAGGAAUGCGGAAUUCCAGGUGUAGCGGUGAAAUGCGUAGAUAUCUGGAGGAACACCGGUGGCGAAGGCGGCAUUCUGGACUGCAACUGACACUGAAAGACGAAAGCCAGGGGAGCAAACGGG